GUGCUCUCUUUGGCAGCGCAUGUACUAAAAUUGGAACAAUACAGAGAUUAGAAUGGCCCCUGAGCAAAGAAGACACACAAAUUUGUGAAGCAUUACAUAUUUUU
ensembl:snRNA U6 U6 spliceosomal RNA